rnacentral:tRNA from 1 species
GGGGAUAUAGCUCACUUGGUAGAGUGCUUACCUUAAUUGCAUGCAUGAGGCCCUGGGUUCAAUCUCCAGUACCACCA